UCCCAGACUCCUACGGGAGGCAGCAGUGAGGAAUAUUGGUCAAUGGGCGGAAGCCUGAACCAGCCAAGUCGCGUGAGGGAAGAAGGCCCUGCGGGUCGCAGACCUCUUUGGACGGGGAGCAAGGCCGCCGACGUGUCGGCGGAAGGAGAGUACCCGUAGAACAAGCCACGGCUAACUACGUGCCAGCAGCCGCGGUAAUACGUAGGGGGCAAGCGUUAUCCGGAUUUACUGGGUGUAAAGGGAGCGUAGACGGCAGUGCAAGUCUGGAGUGAAAGGCGGGGGCUCAACCCCCGGACUGCUCUGGAAACUGUACGGCUGGAGUGCAGGAGAGGUAAGUGGAAUUCCUAGUGUAGCGGUGAAAUGCGUAGAUAUUAGGAGGAACACCAGUGGCGAAGGCGGCUUACUGGACUGUAACUGACGUUGAGGCUCGAAAGCGUGGGGAGCAAACAGGAUUAGAUACCCGAGUA
rnacentral:rRNA from 1 species